rnacentral:lncRNA from 1 species
AUGGAUCCUGGGGGCGGCUCCGCCCUUGCCCUUGGGGGGGUGAGACUCCCGGGCGGGCGGCAGGGACCCCCCAGGCGGCAGGCUCCAGGCCCCCCGGCGCGGGGAGCCGGGGGCGGGCGGGUGCUCCCCUGCCCGUGGUGCUCACUACGGCUGCGAGGUCGGGGUGUGCGAGGAGCCCGGGGCGCCCCGACAGCGCGGCGAGGCGGGACGAGCUCAGGGUCCUUCCCUGUCCGCUUGGCUCACAGUAGAACCAGCAGCGUCCCUGCUCCGCAGCCCCCCAAAUCCUCUUACUCCCUCUCCCUCAAGGGCUCAGGGCAGGAAAUCAGACACGGGGUUUCAUUGUGCGGCUCACAGAUGCCAGCGUCAGUGGAAUUCCCAGGCUCUCUGCGUUUCCCACGUGCAAGGGAGGCCGGCGUGGAGGAGCGCGGCCCUGCAGCCCGGAAUUGGGACCCACGGUUGGCCUCGCUGGGAGCUGAGGAUCGGGGAGCUCCGAGUGCCUCUGAGCGUCAGCCUGCGGAGGACGGGCCGGGUGAGCGUGGGCACGCCCCCUGCCCGCCCCUUCCCGGGCUCCCGGGCCCUACCUUGAGUGCUGGGCGUCCCCGCUUGUCCUCCCGUCCGGGUAAGGCAGGCCUUGGGGCGUGUGCCCCGCGGUGCCGAAUUCGCGGCCAGCGCCCCUGGGCCCGCGGUCUCGGAGUGCGGGGGGGCAGCGCCGCUCGGCUGUCGCGCCCGCGGGGGGGCUGCUCCGUCGACGACUGCGCGCGCACCCCAUGUGCUCGCCGGCCUGAGUUUGAGGACGAUCACCGUGUCGCCUGUCAUUUCCCUCUCGGCCUGGCAGCGCCCGCACAGCCCUGCCGCCGCCCCACCCGCAGCCCGCCCCCCGCCCGCAGCCCUGUCCCUCCGGGCGUCACCCCCCGCAGGCGGCGUCCCUCCGUCUGGGGCGUACCUCUGGCGGUCGCUGGAGCCGACGUUAGCCGCAGCGCUCCCUCCCCCGGCGGUGCCUGGGCCCCCGGCUGCUGCGCCCCUCUGGGCGUGGGGGUGCGCACCUCGGGGCGGCGGCCUGGCGCCGGCGCCGCCCAUUGGCUGCAGCACAAUGAGUGA